AUUGAACGCUGGCGGCAGGCCUAACACAUGCAAGUCGAGCGGUAGAGAGAAGCUUGCUUCUCUUGAGAGCGGCGGACGGGUGAGUAAUGCCUAGGAAUCUGCCUGGUAGUGGGGGAUAACGUUCGGAAACGGACGCUAAUACCGCAUACGUCCUACGGGAGAAAGCAGGGGACCUUCGGGCCUUGCGCUAUCAGAUGAGCCUAGGUCGGAUUAGCUAGUUGGUGGGGUAAUGGCUCACCAAGGCGACGAUCCGUAACUGGUCUGAGAGGAUGAUCAGUCACACUGGAACUGAGACACGGUCCAGACUCCUACGGGAGGCAGCAGUGGGGAAUAUUGGACAAUGGGCGAAAGCCUGAUCCAGCCAUGCCGCGUGUGUGAAGUAGGUCUUCGGAUUGUAAAGCACUUUAAGUUGGGAGGAAGGGCAGUAAAUUAAUACUUUGCUGUUUUGACGUUACCGACAGAAUAAGCACCGGCUAACUCUGUG
rnacentral:rRNA from 1 species